rnacentral:misc_RNA from 1 species
GAUGAAGAACGCAGCAAAAUGCGAUAAGUAAUGUGAAUUGCAGAAUUCAGUGAAUCAUCGAAUCUUUGAACGCACAUUGCGCCCGCCAGUAUUCUGGCGGGCAUGCCUGUUCGAGCGUCAUUUCAACCCUCAAGCACAGCUUGGUGUUGGGGCUCGCGUUAAUUCGCGUUCCCCAAAUUGAUUGGCGGUCACGUCGAGCUUCCAUAGCGUAGUAGUAAAACCCUCGUUACUGGUAAUCGUCGCGGCCACGCCGUUAAACCCCAACUUCUGAAUGUUGACCUCGGAUCAGGUAGGAAUACCCGCUGAACUUAAGCAUAUCAAUAAGCGGAGGA